rnacentral:rRNA from 1 species
GACGAACGCUGGCGGCGUGCCUAAUACAUGCAAGUAGAACGCUGAAGGAGGAGCUUGCUUCUCUGGAUGAGUUGCGAACGGGUGAGUAACGCGUAGGUAACCUGCCUGGUAGCGGGGGAUAACUAUUGGAAACGAUAGCUAAUACCGCAUAAGAGUAGAUGUUGCAUGACAUUUGCUUAAAAGGUGCAAUUGCAUCACUACCAGAUGGACCUGCGUUGUAUUAGCUAGUUGGUGGGGUAACGGCUCACCAAGGCGACGAUACAUAGCCGACCUGAGAGGGGGAUAGGCCACAAUGGGACUGAGACACGGCCCAGACUCCUACGGGAGGCAGCAGUAGGGAAUCUUCGGCAAUGGACGGAAGUCUGACCGAGCAACGCCGCGUGAGUGAAGAAGGUUUUCGGAUCGUAAAGCUCUGUUGUAAGAGAAGAACGAGUGUGAGAGUGGAAAGUUCACACUGUGACGGUAUCUUACCAGAAAGGGACGGCUAACUACGUG